rnacentral:rRNA from 1 species
CCUACGGGUGGCAGCAGUGGGGAAUAUUGCACAAUGGGCGCAAGCCUGAUGCAGCCAUGCCGCGUGUGUGAAGAAGGCCUUCGGGUUGUAAAGCACUUUCAGCGGGGAGGAAGGCGUUAAGGUUAAUAACCUUGUCGAUUGACGUUACCCGCAGAAGAAGCACCGGCUAACUCCGUGCCAGCAGCCGCGGUAAUACGGAGGGUGCAAGCGUUAAUCGGAAUUACUGGGCGUAAAGCGCACGCAGGCGGUCUGUCAAGUCGGAUGUGAAGUCCCCGGGCUCAACCUGGGAACUGCAUUCGAAGCUGGCAGGCUAGAGUCUUGUAGAGGGGGGUAGAAUUCCAGGUGUAGCGGUGAAAUGCGUAGAGAUCUGGAGGAAUACCGGUGGCGAAGGCGGCCCCCUGGACAAAGACUGACGCUCAGGUGCGAAAGCGUGGGGAGCAAACAGGAUUAGAUACCCGAGUAGUC